AUUGAACGCUGGCGGAAUGCUUUACACAUGCAAGCCGAACGGCAGCAUAGGUGCUUGCACCUGAUGGCGAGUGGCGAACGGGUGAGUAAUACAUCGGAACGUGCCCAGUCGUGGGGGAUAACGUAGCGAAAGUUACGCUAAUACCGCAUACGAUCUAAGGAUGAAAGCGGGGGACCGUAAGGCCUCGCGCGAUUGGAGCGGCCGAUGUCAGAUUAGGUAGUUGGUGAGGUAAAGGCUCACCAAGCCGACGAUCUGUAGCUGGUCUGAGAGGACGACCAGCCACACUGGGACUGAGACACGGCCCAGACUCCUACGGGAGGCAGCAGUGGGGAAUUUUGGACAAUGGACGCAAGUCUGAUCCAGCCAUUCCGCGUGCAGGACGAAGGCCUUCGGGUUGUAAACUGCUUUUGUACGGAACGAAAAAGCUCUUACUAAUACUAGGAGUCCAUGACGGUACCGUAAGAAUAAGCACCGGCUAACUACGUGCCAGCCGCCGCCGUAA
rnacentral:rRNA from 1 species